ACAUGCACCAACCGCCACGAUAGCAGGGUGAACGCCGCGAGCACGCAGCCGCCGGCCAGCAACGCGCGGAAUCGCAGCGUGCGGUCGCCCGGCUCAAGCCGGCGGCAGGCGGAGGCACCGUUCAUCGACGUUCGGCAUCCGGGGUUUCCACGGCAUACCUGAUGGCCCCCGACGGAAUAUGGGUCAGUCCGAGGGCCAUGCUCUCGACACGAGCCCGCAGGUUUUCUUCGUUGGUCAGGUCGCUCAUCCGGAGUUCGAGGGCGUGUAUUUGGCGGCGGAUGCGCCCGGUCUCCCGCUGGACUUCGAGAAUCUGCAGCGCGCGCUUGUCCCGCUUCCAACCGAGCCACGCAUAAGCGAUUCCGAUGCCGGCCAGAAUAGCGGCGGCAAUGACGGCGUUGAUCAUCCAGCCAGGCCGGAGUGAAUUUCUACAUGUAUUUUCCGGACGGCGGGCCAUCUCAGUAAUAGCUGUUUUCAGAUUCGUUCGGCGACGCGUAAUUUGGCGCUGCGGGCCCGCGGGUUGGCCUCCACUUCCUCUUCAGAGGGAGUGAUCGCUUUGCGGACCGGGAGCGAAUAAUAACAUUCAGGAUUGGGGCGCGGGGCGGGCCAUUCCGGACGGUCGAUUUGCGGUGCGCUGUGAUUCCGGAUAUAAUUCUUUACGAUGCGGUCUUCGAGGGAAUGAAACGUGAUGACCGCCAGCCGGCCGCCCGGCCGCAGCCAGUGGUGAGCGCCGGCCAGCGCGCGCUGAAGACACCCCAACUCGUCAUUCACAGCGAUGCGCAGCGCCUGAAAGAUGCGCGUCGCCGGGUGCAGCCCGCUGGUUUUCGGAAUCACCGUCGCGAUGACGUCCGCCAGAUCGGUAGUCGUGCGCAGCGCGUGCCGCCGCCGGUGUUUGGCAAUCGCACGGGCCGCUUUUCGCGCGUGCCGCUCCCCGCCAUAGUCAUAAAAUGUGUUGGCGAGCGUGUCUUCCGGCCAUGUGUUGACGAUUUCGGCGGCGGUGAGCGGCGCUUCGCAGUCCAUGCGCAUAUCGAGCGGCCCCGCAAAGCGAAAGGAGAAUCCCCGGUCCGGCGAAUCGAUCUGCCAGCUGCUGAUUCCCAAAUCGAGAAGAAUGCCGUCCACUCCCGUGAGACCGCAGGUUUCAAGGAUUUCCGGAAAGUGAUCGAAUGACGUGUGCAGGGCCACGAAUUGCUGCUCCCAGCCGGACUCCAGUUCAUGCGCCAUGGCAAUCGCAUCGGCAUCGCGGUCAAGGGCCAGUACGCUGGCUCCGUGCUUCAAUAGCUCCCGCGAAUGUCCUCCACCGC
rnacentral:misc_RNA from 1 species